GAUCAGGUAGGGAUACCCGCUGAAACUUAAGCAU
rnacentral:rRNA from 1 species